UAGGGAAUCUUCGGCAAUGGGGGGAACCCUGACCGAGCAACGCCGCGUGAGUGAAGAAGGUUUUCGGAUCGUAAAGCUCUGUUGUUAAGGAAGAACGAGUGUGAGAAUGGAAAGUUCAUACUGUGACGGUAUCUAACCAGAAAGCCACGGCUAACUACGUGCCAGCAGCCGCGGUAAUACGUAGGUGGCAAGCGUUGUCCGGAUUUAUUGGGCGUAAAGCGAGCGCAGGCGGUCAAUUAAGUCUGAUGUGAAAGCCCCCGGCUCAACCGGGGAGGGUCAGUGGAAACUGGUUGACUUGAGUGCAGAAGAGGAGAGUGGAAUUCCAUGUGUAGCGGUGAAAUGCGUAGAUAUAUGGAGGAACACCAGUGGCGAAGGCGACUCUCUGGUCUGUAACUGACGCUGAGGCUCGAAAGCGUGGGUAGCAAACAGG
rnacentral:rRNA from 1 species